rnacentral:rRNA from 1 species
AUUGAACGCUGGCGGCAGGCCUAACACAUGCAAGUCGAGCGGAUGAAGGGAGCUUGCUCCUGGAUUCAGCGGCGGACGGGUGAGUAAUGCCUAGGAAUCUGCCUGGUAGUGGGGGAUAACGUCCGGAAACGGGCGCUAAUACCGCAUACGUCCUGAGGGAGAAAGUGGGGGACCUUCGGACCUCACGCUAUCAGAUGAGCCUAGGUCGGAUUAGCUAGUUGGUGGGGUAAAGGCCUACCAAGGCGACGAUCCGUAACUGGUCUGAGAGGAUGAUCAGUCACACUGGAACUGAGACACGGUCCAGACUCCUACGGGAGGCAGCAGUGGGGAAUAUUGGACAAUGGGCGAAAGCCUGAUCCAGCCAUGCCGCGUGUGUGAAGAAGGUCUUCGGAUUGUAAAGCACUUUAGGUUGGGAGGAAGGGCAGUAAGUUAAUACCUUGCUGUUUUGACGUUACCAACAGAAUAAGCACCGGCUAACUUCGUG